rnacentral:rRNA from 1 species
AUAGCGUAUAUUAAAGUUGUUGCAGUUAAAAAGCUCGUAGUUGAAUUUCGGAUGAGGACCCUUGGUCUGGCUUCUGGUCAGUACUGAGGGGACCGAGUCUUUUUUCUGGGAAAUAAGGGUGCUCUUCACUGGGUGCCCUUAGGAACCAGGACGAUUACUUUGAGAAAAAUAGAGUGUUUAAAGCAGGCAUAUUGCUUGAAUACAUUAGCAUGGAAUAAUAAAAUAGGACUUUGGUUCUAUUUUGUUGGUUUUAAGGACCAAUGUCAUGAUGAAUAGGGACAGUUGGGGGCAUUAGUAUUCAGUAGUCAGAGGUGAAAUUCUUGGAUUUACUGAAGACUAACUACUG